GAAGGUGGGGAAGGGUUAGGUGAAGGUGAAGAAGAGGCACAUGAUGAGCCCGCUGAUGAUCUUGGUCGGACCAUUGCUGAUGCACGGAGACGCUGCGAAACUGACAAGGAUAGGGAGAAUUUGGAUCGCAUGUUAGAGGAUCACAAAAAGUCGUUGUAUCCAGGAUGCGAUAAUAGUCUAAAAAAGCUGGGCUGCACACUGGAUUUGCUAAAAUGGAAGGCACAGGAAGGUGUAGGUGACUCAUCAUUUGAAAAUUUGCUGAAAAUGUUGAAGAAUAUGUUUCCGAAGAAUAACGAGUUGCCCGCCAGUACGUACGAAGCAAAGAAGGUUGUCUGCCCUCUAGGUUUAGAGGUUCUGAAGAUACAUGCAUGCAUUAACGACUGCAUCCUCUACCGC
rnacentral:rRNA from 1 species